rnacentral:rRNA from 1 species
UACGAAGGGGGCUAGCGUUGUUCGGAAUUACUGGGCGUAAAGCGCACGUAGGCGGGUCGUUAAGUCAGGGGUGAAAUCCUGGAGCUCAACUCCAGAACUGCCUUUGAUACUGGCGACCUUGAGUCCGGGAGAGGUGAGUGGAACUGCGAGUGUAGAGGUGAAAUUCGUAGAUAUUCGCAAGAACACCAGUGGCGAAGGCGGCUCACUGGCCCGGUACUGACGCUGAGGUGCGAAAGCGUGGGGAGCAAACAGG